CGUCUAUAUACGUAUAGCAUAUCAAUAAGCGGAGGAAAAGAAACUAACAAGGAUUCCCUUAGUAACGGCGAGUGAAGCGGGAAGAGCUCAAAUUUGAAAUCUUCAAGGUCCCACCUUGACGAAUUGUAGUUUAUAGAAGUGUUUUCUGUUAGUAGAGUGGCAAAAGUUCUUUGGAAUAGGACAUCAUAGAGGGUGAGAAUCCCGUAUUUGGUCAUUCCUCCUAGCGUUGUGACACACUUUCAACGAGUCGGAUUGUUUGGGAAUGCAGUCCAAAAUGGGUGGUAAAUUUCAUCUAAAGCUAAAUAUUGGCGAGAGACCGAUAGCGAACAAGUACCGUGAGGGAAAGAUGAAAAGAACUUUGAAAAGAGAGUUAAACAGUACGUGAAAUUGUCAAAAGGGAAGCGUUUGACACCAGUGUUGUUUUUCCGAAAAUCAAUUACGAAUGUUUUGUUUUUGAGGAGUUAUGACUUCAUCGGCUUGCUCCUUUCUUUAUGAAACUUUCUUAAUGCACUUUUCGGUUAACAAGUCAACAUCAAUUUCUUUUGUUGUAAAAGGGUAUGAGGAAGGUGGCUUUCUUUUCGGAGAAAGUGUUUAUAGCCUUGUGCCUCUGCAAUCGGAGAGAUUGAGGUCUGCAGCGUAGAUCCUUCGGGGUUAGAUACAUUUGUGCUAAGUUAUAGCUUUUCAUAGACAACUUGUUGACUAUGUUUAGUCUUGUAGCUUACUCGCUUAUCGCUAUUUUACCUACGCUUAGGAUGUUGAUAUGCAUGACUGAUAU
rnacentral:rRNA from 1 species